CUGGAUACGACCGAUCUCCGCAUGGAGUGUUGGUGGAAAGUUUUUGUGGUGGGGGAUGGACUCGCGGCCUAUCAGCUUGUUGGUGGGGUAAUGGCCUACCAAGGCGACGACGGGUAGCCGGCCUGAGAGGGCGACCGGCCACACUGGGACUGAGACACGGCCCAGACUCCUACGGGAGGCAGCAGUGGGGAAUAUUGCACAAUGGGCGAAAGCCUGAUGCAGCGACGCCGCGUGAGGGAUGACGGCCUUCGGGUUGUAAACCUCUUUCACCAGGGACGAAGCUAACGUGACGGUACCUGGAGAAGAAGCACCGGCUAACUACGUGCCAGCAGCCGCGGUAAUACGUAGGGUGCGAGCGUUGUCCGGAAUUAUUGGGCGUAAAGAGCUUGUAGGCGGUCUGUCGCGUCUGCUGUGAAAGACCGGGGCUUAACUCCGGUUCUGCAGUGGGUACGGGCAGACUAGAGUGUGGUAGGGGAGACUGGAAUUCCUGGUGUAGCGGUGAAAUGCGCAGAUAUCAGGAGGAACACCGAUGGCGAAGGCAGGUCUCUGGGCCAUUACUGACGCUGAGAAGCGAAAGCAUGGGGAGCGAACAGGAUUAGAUACCCUGGUAGUCCAUGCCGUAAACGUUGGGCGCUAGGUGUGGGACUCAUUCCACGAGUUCCGUGCCGCAGCUAACGCAUUAAGCGCCCCGCCUGGGGAGUACGGCCGCAAGGCUAAAACUCAAAGGAAUUGACGGGGGCCCGCACAAGCGGCGGAGCAUGCGGAUUAAUUCGAUGCAACGCGAAGAACCUUACCAAGGCUUGACAUACACCGGAAUCAUGCAGAGAUGUGUGCGUCUUCGGACUGGUGUACAGGUGGUGCAUGGUUGUCGUCAGCUCGUGUCGUGAGAUGUUGGGUUAAGUCCCGCAACGAGCGCAACCCUCGUUCCAUGUUGCCAGCACUUCCGGGUGGGGACUCAUGGGAGACUGCCGGGGUCAACUCGGAGGAAGGUGGGGAUGACGUCAAAUCAUCAUGCCCCUUAUGUCUUGGGC
rnacentral:rRNA from 1 species